rnacentral:lncRNA from 1 species
GCUUACCAUCAAGACAUGGUCGGUAUUUUUCCUCCACCAUUGCUACACCAGUCAUAGAACAUUUUAGUGGAGUACACCAAAGACAAGUCUAAUUUGGCAUGGGAGGUAUUGGAUAAAUGCACCGCUCCAAGAGAGAGUCGGACCGGCGGUCAUUGGAGGCUGCUUCAGCAUCACACUUCAAAGAAGGAUCUUCAAACUUUCUAUGGGGCAGCUUCUUCCUACCGACAAACUAGCCUUCCUACCCUUCUCGAAAGAAUACCCAGGGGAUAAGGCAUGUCCUCAAGAGUGGACAUGCUAUGUUGAGGACAUGCUAUGCCACCUCUGAUAUCCU